rnacentral:miRNA from 2 species
GGUUUUUUUUUUUUUUUUUC